GUGUUGUAAUUUAUUGAUUAGAAUGGAUUCGUAAUCAGUAGGUCGGAGGUUCGACUCCUCUCAACAGCA
rnacentral:tRNA from 1 species